GCAGUUUACACGAUGUCACUGGAAUGUCCAAUUUUGACUCCACCAGCGCUCCGCGUUUGACACACACUCCCUCAUCAGAUCAGGAGUUGUUGGAGACAAACAGCUGAUAUCCUGACUGAACUCCUUCAGUCCAUUGAAGCAGUGAAACAGUGAUUUCUCUGAGAGUGGAUCAGCAGAUCAACUGUUCACUGUCAGUGGAUGGUAGCUGGAAGAGGGAGAAGAUGAUCUGCAGGAUCCUGCUGCUCAUCAUCCUCAACUCAUGUCUCUGUGCAGCAACAUUUGUAGUGAAUGUGACACAGAGCUCCUAUCAGGCAGAGGAGAACCACAGCAUCACUCUGGAGUGGACCUUCACCACCACACCUGAUCGACCCUGGAGAGAUCUGUACAUCUACUGCAGCUUGUUAACUCCUAGGAAAGAAUUAGUCCUUUAUCAGGUCCAUGAUGGUGUUGAGGUGUUAGAGUCUCAGGAUGAACAGUUUUCAGGACGAGUCCAGAGUGACAAAGACGUCCUCAGAGAAGGACGAAUCAGACUCCAUGUGUCCAGACUGAGGACUGAAGACUCUGGAGAGUAUUACUGUUUUGUGGAGACUGAUGAUAGUUUAGGUUCUGCAUCCUGUCGACUCAAUGUCUCUGAAGCAAAGAAUCGGUCUGAACCUCCAAACUCAGGAAGUGCAACAAGCAAACCUGAACCUCCAAACUCAGGAAGUGCAACAAGCAGACCUGGAAACCCGAUCAGAACCAUUGGAGGACUGCUGCUGUUUCUAUCUGUGAAGCUUUUUCUGCUUUAAUAUUUGCUUCAUGCAGAGUUUUCAUUGCAGUCGCUGAUUCCAGCAAAUCAUUGAAUGUUU